GGUAACGUGGCCGAGUGGUUAAGGCGAUAGCUUUAGGCGCUAUUUCUUCGGAGCGUAGGUUCGAAUCCUGCCGUUAUCA
rnacentral:tRNA from 1 species